CCAGAGGUUUAUGUCCAAAAAGGAGACAGAGGAGUCUUGUAGCUUUAUUCGUGAAUAAUGGGCGAGGCCUCGGGGCAUUUUCCAUGGAGUCCCUCAGAUUUCUGGGGGAUGCAGCCUCCUUUUUAUCCUAAUUUACAUUUCCCCAUUGGCUGAGGUACUUGAGAGAUACACACUUCCCGAAUUGAGUAAUACAGACCCUCUUCUAAUGUGCACACCCCUGUCCCCUCUUUUUAUCUUUGUUCUUUUUCUCCAAGUCCAGGAAUUUAGCAGGGCCUUGGAUAAGCAACAGUUGAUGUCCAUAAGUAACAUCCCCCUUUUGCUUAACUCACCUAUCGGUCUCUGGCUCAGGCCAGAUUGUAAAAACUCAUUCCUCUUAUUCCUUUCAGGAGUGUUUUAGGAAAAUUGAGCCAUGCUCUCCUGGUUGUAUCUAGAGAAGGAGCAAGAAGCAACAGGCACAAGCUGAAAUACCAGAAAUUCAGUUUAGAGUGAGAGGGAAAAUGGCUGGUACGUGUCAGUACAAACAUUGUCUUGGAUAAGGCUUGAUCUCGUUUAUUUCCCAGUAUUUACUAGAAUCUUAAUUUUAAAUAAAAGGUCAGUUAACCAGUAAUACUUAAAUUGUUAGCACAGCUGUUUUCUAGUAUGAUAUACAAUAUCAUGAUAUAUUCAUGAUGUGAAUGUAACAGGAGGACAUUGGCUUGAGAGGCCUGUUGUACUUCAGAGCAUUUCUGUGACUAGAGAAGGAUGGAGAGGGAAAAAAACAGCAUCAAAAGCAAAUAGCCAGUUGCAGGUUUAUGUAGUUUUCCUACUGAGGCUCAUCAAUGGUUUUGAAUUUUGGUGCUGAAUUUUAUAGGAAAAUUUUUUUAAUAGGAAGGGUUUUUUUAUAGGAAAAGCACAUCCGUCAGCAAUGGACAAGAUUUACACAGACCCUGCUGUGGAAAAUGAUAACACGGAGCACAUCAGGAGGAAGCGACUGUCCUCCAUUUUAAAGGCUCCACGAAAUCCUCUGGAUGAUCUGGGAAAUGGGAACGAAAUGACCCAGGACAUCCACGUAGAGAGGCGCAGGAGGAGCUCGCGCAGGGUCAGCUUCGCCAACACCAUCAAGUGAGGGAGCUGAAGGGUGCACACCUACGUCCCUUCCUCAGCCAUAGAAUGCAGGGAAUAAUCCUUCCCCCUAAAAGUGUCCUCACUGAGUAAUCACAAAUGACUGCAAGCAGCAGGAAGAGUCUUAUAUCGAGUUGGGAACCCUGAGAGCCAUUAUUCAUUUUUACUUCACAGCUGAAAAAAAGCCCAGUUCAGUGAAAUUAAUAUAGUUGGGAAUUUUUGUUUUACGUUCAGUUUCCAUUCAGACAUCUCAAAUGUCAUCAUGGCAUCUUCUCCCUGAAAAAUACAGCUGGGUUCAGUACACUUCUGGCUUUUGGUAUCUCGUUUCAGAACAUUUAGAAAAGAUUUAAAUUAGUGCUGCUUGUUUGUUUUUUUUGUUUUUUUUUUUUCCUUUGAAUUUGGUUUUAGAGAUGGUUUUGUUUUUAAAAACUGGUGGUUUUGUUCUUAGCUGCAGAGUCUUCCAGCAAGAUCUUAAGAACAGCGCAUCAGAAACAGAAAAUACAGGUAAAACUCCUUUUUCUUUUCCUGACAGGCUUCCCAGACUAUUAGCAUCAAGACUUUAGCUUGAUUUUAAGAAAUCAGAACUUUUCCAUUUGGGGAAGGAACAACAUGGUCAGCUCUUUAUCCUGGCCUGGCUGAAAACUCCUCAGUCACAGUGUUCUUGCCACAAGAAGACACAUCAAGAGUGAGAACUUCAGAACAUUGUUUUCC
rnacentral:lncRNA from 1 species